CCUGCCCUUCAGACGGGGACAACAGCUCGAAAGGGCUGCUAAUACCGGAUACGACUGCGAUUGCGCUUGCAGUUGCAGUGAAAGUGAAUGCGCUGAAUGAUGGACUCGCGUCCCAUUAGCUAUUUGGUGAGGUAACGGCUCACCAAGGCGACGAUGGGUAGCCGGCCUGAGAGGGUGACCGGCCACACUGGGACUGAGACACGGCCUAGACUCCUACGGGAGGCAGCAGUAGGGAAUUUUGCGCAAUGGGGGCAACCCUGACGCAGCGACGCCGCGUGAGCGAAGAAAGCUUUCGGGUCGUAAAGCUCUGUCCUAUGGGAAGAAAAUGACGGUACCAUAGGAGGAAGCCCCGGCUAACUACGUGCCAGCAGCCGCGGUAAUACGUAUGGGGCAAGCGUUGUCCGGAAUUAUUGGGCGUAAAGGGUGCGUAGGCGGGUAUGUAAGUCCGGUGUGAAAUGCUUCGGCUUAACCGGGGAGUUGCAUUGGAAACUGCAUAUCUAAAGUACAGGAGAGGGAAGCGGAAUUCCUUAUUGUAGCGGUGAUAUGCGUAUAUAUUAUGAGGAACACCAUUGGCGAAAGCGGCUUCCUGUACUGAAACUGACGCUGAUGCCAAAAGCUGGUGUACGAACAGGAUUAAAUCCCUGUUAUUCCCACCGUAAACAUGGGUACUA
rnacentral:rRNA from 1 species